AUUGAACGCUGGCGGCAUGCCUUACACAUGCAAGUCGAACGGUAACGCGGGGCAACCUGGCGACGAGUGGCGAACGGGUGAGUAAUGUAUCGGAACGUGCCCAGUUGUGGGGGAUAACUGCUCGAAAGAGCAGCUAAUACCGCAUACGACCUGAGGGUGAAAGCGGGGGAUCGCAAGACCUCGCGCAAUUGGAGCGGCCGAUAUCAGAUUAGGUAGUUGGUGGGGUAAAGGCUCACCAAGCCAACGAUCUGUAGCUGGUCUGAGAGGACGACCAGCCACACUGGGACUGAGACACGGCCCAGACUCCUACGGGAGGCAGCAGUGGGGAAUUUUGGACAAUGGACGCAAGUCUGAUCCAGCCAUGCCGCGUGCGGGAAGAAGGCCUUCGGGUUGUAAACCGCUUUUGUCAGGGAAGAAAGGCUCUGGGUUAAUACCUCGGGGUAAUGACGGUACCUGAAGAAUAAGCACCGGCUAACUACGUGCCAGCAGCCGCGGUAAGAC
rnacentral:rRNA from 1 species